GGAAUUUCUCUGUAAGGUGUCCAUAGACUACUUGUAAGAUGGAGAUCAAACAAGACGAAGUUGGGUUUAAAAACCCCUGUAGGGAGUAGGUAGGGAGUGUUAAACCCCCGUAGGGAGUAGGUAGGGAGUGUUAAACCCCCGUAGGGAGUAGGUAGGGAGUGUUAAACCCCCGUAGGGAGUAGGUAGGGAGUGUUAAACCCCCGUAGGGAGUAGGUAGGGAGUGUUAAACCCCCGUAGGGAGUAGGUAGGGAGUGUUAAACCCCCGUAGGGAGUAGGUAGGGAGUGUUAAACCCCCGUAGGGAGUAGGUAGGGAGUGUUAAACCCCCGUAGGGAGUAGGUAGGGAGUGUUAAACCCCCGUAGGGAGUAGGUAGGGAGUGUUAAACCCCCGUAGGGAGUAGGUAGGGAGUGUUAAACCCCCGUAGGGAGUAGGUAGGGAGUGUUAAACCCCCGUAGGGAGUAGGUAGGGAGUGUUAAACCCCCGUAGGGAGUAGGUAGGGAGUGUUAAACCCCCGUAGGGAGUAGGUAGGGAGUGUUAAACCCCCGUAGGGAGUAGGUAGGGAGUGUUAAACCCCCGUAGGGAGUAGGUAGGGAGUGUUAAACCCCCGUAGGGAGUAGGUAGGGAGUGUUAAACCCCCGUAGGGAGUAGGUAGGGAGUGUUAAACCCCCGUAGGGAGUAGGUAGGGAGUGUUAAACCCCCGUAGGGAGUAGGUAGGGAGUGUUAAACCCCCGUAGGGAGUAG